GAUGAACGCUGGCGGCGUGCCUAAUACAUGCAAGUCGAGCGAACAGACGAGGAGUUUUCCCCUCUGACGUUAGCGGCGGACGGGUGAGUAACACGUGGAUAACCUACCUAUAAGACUGGGAUAACUUCGGGAAAUCGGAGCUAAUACCGGAUAAUAUAUUGAACCGCAUUGUUCAAUAGUGAAAGACGGUUUUGCUGUCUCUAAUAGAUCGAUCCGCGCCGCAUUAGCUAGUUGGUAAGGUAACGGCUUACCAACGCAACGAUGCGUAGCCGACCUGAGAGGGUGAUCAGCCACACUGGAACUGAGACACGGUCCAGACACCUACGGGAGGCAGCAGUCGGGAAUCUUCCGCAAUGGACGAGAGCCUGACAGAGCAACGCCGCGUGAGUGAUGAAGGUCUUCGGAUCGUAAAGCUCUGUUAUUAGGGAAGAACAAAUGUUUGAGUAACUAUGCACGUCUUGACGGUACCUAGUGAGAAAGCCACGGCUAACUACGUG
rnacentral:rRNA from 1 species